rnacentral:rRNA from 1 species
UUGUGGGUAGCGGUGAAAUUCCAAACGAACUUGGAGAUAGCUGGUUCUCUCCGAAAUAGCUUUAGGGCUAGCCUCGCAAAGAGGAUGCUGGAGGUAGAGCUCUGUUUGGACUAGGGGCCCGUCAAGGGUUACUGAAUUCAGAUAAACUGCGAAUUCCAGACAUUUAUGUGCGGGAGUCAGACUGCGAGUGAUAAGAUCCGUAGUCGAAAGGGAAACAGCCCAGAUCACCAGUUAAGGUCCCAAAAUUCAUGCUAAGUGGAAAAGGAUGUGGAGUUGCGCAGACAACUAGGACGUUGGCUCAGAAGCAGCCAUCAUUCAAAGAGUGCGUAAUAGCUCACUAGUCGAGUGACGCCGCGCCGAAAAUUUACCGGGGCUAAGCAUGAUACCGAAACUGUGGAUGUGCGUUUAUGCACGUGGUAGGAGAGCGUUCUAGCGGCGGUGAAGCAUGACCGAGAGGACAUGUGGAGCUUCUAGAAGUGAGAAUGCCGGUAUGAGUAACGAAAGACAGGUGAGAAUCCUGUCCGCCGCAAGACUAAGGUUUCCUGGGGCAGGCUCGUCCGCCCAGGGUAAGUCGGGACCUAAGGCGAGGCCGAGAGGCGUAGUCGAUGGACAACAGGUUGAAAUUCCUGUACUGCACCGAAUCGUUAUGAGCGAUGGAGGGACGCAGGAGGCUAGCAGCGCGUGGUGCUGGAUACCACGUUCAAGCGUCAAGUCUGAGAGUGAGUCAAAUGCUUGCUCUCAUAAGGACAAGGCGUGAUGAGGAGCGAAAUUAAAGUAGCGAAGGCUGCGACGUCACACUGCCGAGAAAAGCUUCUAGCCAGAGACGGUGCACCCGUACCGCAAACCGACACAGGUAGUCGAGGAGAGUAUCCUCAGGUGAGCGAGAGAACUCUCGUUAAGGAACUCGGCAAAAUGGCCCCGUAACUUCGGGAGAAGGGGCGCUGGUCGCAAGAUCAGCCGCAGUGAAAAGGCCCAAGCAACUGUUUAUCAAAAACACAGGCAUCUGCAAAAUCGUAAGAUGAAGUAUAGGUGCUGACACCUGCCCGGUGCUGGAAGGUUAAGAGGAGAGCUUAGCGCAAGCGAAGGUUUGAAUUGAAGCCCCAGUAAACGGCGGCCGUAACUAUAACGGUCCUAAGGUAGCGAAAUUCCUUGUCGGGUAAGUUCCGACCUGCACGAAAGGUGUAAUGAUUUGGGCACUGUCUCAACGAGAGACUCGGUGAAAUUAUAAUACCCGUGAAGAUGCGGGUUACCCGCGACAGGACGGAAAGACCCCAUGGAGCUUUACUGCAGUUUAAUAUUGGGUAUCUGUCAAGCAUGUACAGGAUAGGUAGGAGCCGGAGAAGAUAGGACGCCAGUCUUAUCUGAGGCGCUGUUGGGAUACUACCCUUGCUUGACGGAUGCUCUAACUCAGGCCUGUGAUCCAGGCCGAGGACAGUGUUUGACGGGCAGUUUGACUGGGGCGGUCGCCUCCUAAAGUGUAACGGAGGCGCCCAAAGGUUCCCUCAGAAUGGUUGGAAAUCAUUCGCAGAGUGUAAAGGUAAAAGGGAGCUUGACUGCGAGAGAGACAACUCGAGCAGGUACGAAAGUAGGGCUUAGUGAUCUGGUGGUACCGUAUGGAAGGGCCAUCACUCAACGGAUAAAAGCUACCCUGGGGAUAACAGGCUUAUCUCCCCCAAGAGUUCACAUCGACGGGGAGGUUUGGCACCUCGAUGUCGGCUCGUCGCAUCCUGGGGCUGAAGUCGGUCCCAAGGGUUGGGCUGUUCGCCCAUUAAAGCGGCACGCGAGCUGGGUUCAGAACGUCGUGAGACAGUUCGGUCCCUAUCCGUCGUGGGCGUAGGAAAUUUGAGAGGAGCUGUCCUUAGUACGAGAGGACCGGGAUGGACGCACCGCUGGUGUACCAGUUGUCUUGCCAAAGGCAUCGCUGGGUAGCUAUGUGCGGACGGGAUAAGCGCUGAAAGCAUCUAAGUGCGAAGCCCCCCUCAAGAUGAGAUUUCCCAUUUCUUCAAGAAAGUAAGACACCUCAGAGACGAUGAGGUAGAUAGGCCGGGAGUGGAAGAGCCGUGAGGCUUGGAGCGGACCGGUACUAAUCAGUCGAGGACUUGACCAAAA